rnacentral:misc_RNA from 1 species
UCAAACUUGGUCAUUUAGAGGAAGUAAAAGUCGUAACAAGGUUUCCGUAGGUGAACCUGCGGAAGGAUCAUUAGAGAAUUAUAAAGUCACCUGUGCUGAUCGCAAGAUAUGUGCACGGUGCAAAUUCAUCCUUACACCUGUGAACUAAGACUUUUGAGCUCCUUUCACUAGGGGCAAGAAAGUAUUUUACACACUUUGAUUAGUAUGUGAUUAUGCUCUAGUGCUUAGCACUAAAAUAAUACAACUUUCAACAACGGAUCUCUUGGCUCUCGCAUCGAUGAAGAACGCAGC